rnacentral:rRNA from 1 species
UACGGGGGGGGGCAAGCGUUGUUCGGAAUUACUGGGCGUAAAGGGCUCGUAGGUGGCCAACUAAGUCAGACGUGAAAUCCCUCGGCUUAACCGGGGAACUGCGUCUGAUACUGGAUGGCUUGAGUUCGGGAGAGGGAUGCGGAAUUCCAGGUGUAGCGGUGAAAUGCGUAGAUAUCUGGAGGAACACCGGUGGCGAAGGCGGGUCUCUGGGCCGAUACUGACGCUGAGGAGCGAAAGCGUGGGGAGCGAACAGG